GCACUCGUAGUUCAACGGAUAGAACAUUGGUUUCCGGAACCAAAAAUUGAGGGUUCAAUUCCCUCCGAGUGCA
rnacentral:tRNA from 1 species